GCUGGGUGCAGUGGCACACACCUGUAAUCCAAGCAGCUCGGGAGGCUGAGGCAGGAGGAUCAAGAGUUCAAAGCCCGCCUCAGUAAUGGUGAGGCCCUGUCUCUA
rnacentral:sRNA from 1 species